rnacentral:misc_RNA from 1 species
GAUGAAGAACGUAGCGAAAUGCGAUAAGUAAUGUGAAUUGCAGAAUUCAGUGAAUCAUCGAAUCUUUGAACGCACAUUGCGCCCGCUAGUAUUCUGGCGGGCAUGCCUGUCCGAGCGUCAUUUCAACCCUCAAGCCCCCGGGCUUGGUGUUGGGGAUCGGCGAGCCUCCGCGCCCGCCGUCCCCUAAAUCUAGUGGCGGUCUCGCUGUAGCUUCCUCUGCGUAGUAGCACACCUCGCACUGGGAAACAGCGCGGCCACGCCGUUAAACCCCCAACUUCUUAACGUUUGACCUCGGAUCAGGUAGGAAUACCCGCUGAACUUAAGCAUAUCAAUAAGCGGAGGA